AUUGAACGCUGGCGGCAGGCCUAACACAUGCAAGUCGAGCGGCAGCGCGAGUAGUUUACUACUUGGCGGCGAGCGGCGGACGGCUGAGUAACGCGUAGGAACGUGCCCCAAAGUGAGGAAUAACUGCCCGAAAGGGUGGCUAAUGCCGCAUAUGAUCUUCGGAUUAAAGUCUUCGGACGCUUUGGGAGCGGCCUGCGUUA
rnacentral:rRNA from 1 species